UAUCUCUGUAGAGUCUGCAUAUCAAUAAGCGGAGGAAAAGAAACUAACAAGGAUUCCCCUAGUAACGGCGAGUGAAGCGGGAAGAGCUCAAAUUUGAAAUCUUCAAGGGUUUCCCUUGACGAAUUGUAGUUUAUAGAAGUGUUUUCUGUUAGAGAGGUGGUAAAAGUUCUUUGGAAUAGGACAUCAUAGAGGGUGAGAAUCCCGUAUUUGAUCACUUUCUACUAACGUUGUGAUACACUUUCAACGAGUCGGAUUGUUUGGGAAUGCAGUCCAAAAUGGGUGGUAAAUUUCAUCUAAAGCUAAAUAUUGGCGAGAGACCGAUAGCGAACAAGUACCGUGAGGGAAAGAUGAAAAGAACUUUGAAAAGAGAGUUAAACAGUACGUGAAAUUGUCAAAAGGGAAGCGUUUGACACCAGUGUUGUUUUUCCGAAAAUCAAUUACGAAUGUUUUGUUUUUGAGAAGUUAUGACUUCAUCGGCUUGCUUCUUUCUUUACGAAACUUUCUUAAUGCACUUUUCGGUUAACAAGUCAACAUCAAUUUCUUUUGUUGUAAAAGGGUAUGAGGAAGGUGGCUUUCUUUUCGGAGAAAGUGUUUAUAGCCUUGUGCCUCUGCAAUCGGAGAGAUUGAGGUCUGCAGCGUAGAUCCUUCGGGGUUAGAUACGUUUGUGCUAAGUUAUAGCUUUGUCAUAGACAACAUUGUUGACUAUGCUUAGUCUUGUAGCAUUACUCGCAGAUAUGCUAUUUUACCUACGCUUAGGAUGUUGACGCAUGAGAUAUACGC
rnacentral:rRNA from 1 species